rnacentral:rRNA from 1 species
GGCAAACGGGUGCGGAACACGUACACAACCUUCCUUUUAGUGGAGAAUAGCCCAGGAAACUUGGAUUAAUACUCCGUAACAUAUAGAAGUGGCAUCACUUCUAUAUUAUAGCAGCAAUGCGCUAGAAGAUGGGUGUGCGGCUGAUUAGAUAGUUGGCGGGGUAACGGCCCACCAAGGCAACGAUCCGUAGCCGGCCUGAGAGGGCGGUCGGCCACACUGACACUGAAAUACGGGUCAGACUCCUACGGGAGGCAGCAGUCGGGAAUUUUGGGCAAUGGGCGAAAGCCUGACCCAGCAACGCCGCGUGAAGGAUGAAAUCCCUCGGGAUGUAAACUUCGCAAGAAUGGGAAGAAUAAGUAGGGGCUAAUACCCACUAUGAUGACGGUACCAUUUGUAAGCUCCGGCUAACUCCGUGCCAGCAGCCGCGG